rnacentral:sRNA from 1 species
ACGUGUUAGCGAUUGAAACGGCAUCCUUUUGCUUUUUUUGCAAAAGAUAUAGUGUAAAGCGCGACCCUUG